UGAAUGAAUCAUGCAUAAGAGUUGUGCUCUCCCUUAUAUAUGUUCAGAGAGGAACGUUUUAUUCUUGCAGUGUCAUUUCGUGGGAAGAUUUUUACAAUCUUCUUGCGGUAACCGUUCCCGUCCAUUACGCACUUGUGGUAACUAAAUAUUUGCUUGCUCAUGCGUGACCAAGCUAAAACAAUUUCCCAUAGGUAAAUUCUUUAGAGUAAAUGUAAUAUAACUAAACUAUGAUAUAUAAUAUAUAUAGUAAAAUGUAUUAAUGUAUAAUAUAAAAUGUUAUAAUAU